GUGGAGCACAGCAAUGACCCAUAGGCAUGGCUCUGGGCACAGGAAUGAUCUGCACAACCCCAGGCAAGUUAUUAAUAUUUAAACUCUCUGCCUCAGUUUGCCCACCUGCAUAAUGGAGCUACUGAUAGACCCUACUUAAUGGAGUUGCUGUGAAGAUGGAAUGAGUUAAUCCACAUAAAGCUGUUAGAACAGUGCCUGGUAACUGGUGGGGGUCCAGAUGCCCACUGCUGUCCUAUGCCAUAUUUUUUACUUCCAGGAAACAGUUUCCAUGGAAAGAAAUCUGAGCAAACCUGUUGGGGAGGUCAUGCAGAGAGAAAGAGACCCUGGAGGAUGGGAAGGCACAUAGGAAAGAACCAAGGCACCCCAGUGGACAGCCAGCAGCCAAACAUGUGAGAAGACUGAAAAAUGCCAGUACUAUCUGUAGCGAAAUGAUCAAAGGAGGUGUCCUUAAGACUCCUGAAGGAGCGCUGGAGAUUGGAAGGACAACACAAGUGUUUGGUGAUCUGGUCAAUAAAGAGCCAACUGGCUGGAUGUUUGGAGCCCACCUGCUUUUCUCCAGUUGUAAAGAAGAAAACUGCUGAAGGCUUGA
ensembl:lncRNA